CCAUCAUUUCGAGAAUCCUCAGUCACAGGAUAUGUUGUAAAUGUAGAAUGAGUCCUUUGGCACACCCGACGACGUUAAAAAGCACAAGACUAGUUGUGCCAUCUUCAACACUUGAACGAGAGAAGGAGCUCUGUCACUGAUCAUGUACUGUACAUGAUCAAGAUGAUUGAGCACUUAAGCAAGCUUGACUUUUCCCUACAUGAGCAGCUG
rnacentral:lncRNA from 1 species